GCCCUCUUAGCUCAGUGGUAGAGCGCGUCACUCGUACUUCGAAGUACAUGACGAGGUCAGUCGUUCAAGUCGGCUAGGGGGCA